rnacentral:lncRNA from 1 species
GGCUUCUCGGAGGGUUGGACCUUGUGGCUACUGGCUUCACAGGCCCUUCCCUCUUUUCUCUCUCUUUUUUUUCCUCUUUUCCCCUUUGUUUUGGUCUAAAUAGCGAGCAAGGUGUUUUUUAUUUUUGACUUUUUGGAUUUCUAGAGAUAAGAUUAAUAGCAAAUAAAGAUGUUUACUUAAUUCUUCUUCUAAUUAUAACUAUAUAUGUGAAAGUCUAUCAAUGUUUUAAGACUUCACUGAUACUGUUUCAUGAGUUUUCCUACCCAAAUCCAAAUACAAUAAUUUUUCAAAACCGAUUCUUCAAAAAUUAAAUCCAGACAUGCAUCAUUGCUAUCAAGAAACCAAAGAUAAAUGUAAAUCUGCUGAUGCAUGACAGAUUGUCCAAGCUAUGGUAGGUAGUCCUUUUCUAAGCGGCUGAUUGGCAGAAAUGACAAAUUGGUUGUGGAUGCACCCAAAAUUUCUUUUGUAUUUUAAUUGUUUCUUUUUGUUAAGAACCUGUGAGAUCUUCAAACCAACUUUGUCAUUUCCCAGAUAAUGCUUCUGAGGCACAUAUUCAAGUAAGAUACAAUGUUUUGGAGAUACCUAUCAAUCUCCCUUCUCAGAAACCUCCUGCAGAUAAGCCGAAUCCCAAACAAGGAAUCAGUAAGUCUUUGGUUCAAAUAUUUUAUUAAGUGAGAAAUUUCAUCACUGUCUUUUGUCUUCAUAUUCUUAGUUGUUCCUGUUUAUUUAUGAAUAUCACCUAAAUAUGGCAAAUAUUAGAUAAAAGUUGAACAAUUGGAUAUUUGUUUAGGAGAUUUUGAACAUUUAUCAUCUUUUCAAUGGCCACGUAGUUCUUGUUUUCCUUCUUGACAACUAAACCUUUAUAGUAACAUUUAUUGACUUGAGCGAUAAGUCUGAUAAUGCUCUAAUUUCUGAAUGAUAACUAUUAGCUUUCUAUUUGAUGAGGAUCUGUUCUAUCUCAAAGUGAGCUUUAUCAGCCUAGUAUCUUCAUCGUCAAGGAUUCAUGCAGAACGUUUCUGAAUUUAUAGAUCUAUGAUCUACAAGUAGAAGCUUGUUUUGGUUGGCUAACCUAUCUAUUGAAUCUCCAUAAGAUCAGAGAAACUACUCUCUAGGCUCACAAAUGAGUGCUUCGUUAUGCGAAACUUAAUUGCAGGCCUGAUGUCAUGGAGCAGCGAUUGUCAAUAUAUUUGCACUCGCAAUGAUAGCAUGCCUACUGUACUCUGGAUAUGGGACAUAAACCAUCUUGAGCUAGCUGCCAUCUUAGUUCAGAAAGAUCCCAUCCGGACUGCAGCCUGGGAUCCCACAUGUCCACGUUUGGUUUUAUGUACUGGAAGCUCCCACUUGUACAUGUGGACACCUUUGGGUGCUUAUUGCAUAAAUGUUCCAUUGCCUCAAUUUGCUGUAAUUGAUCUGAAAUGGAACUCAGAUGGGAGCUGCCUUUUUCUCAAAGACAAGGAGUCAUUCUGCUGUGCUGCUCCGGAGAUACUGCAGGAAUCCAGUGAUUAUAGCUCUGACGACUGAUGAUUCUAUCAUACACAUAAUGAAACUUAAUGGAGCUGAAAUUUUUUGCUCAUCACAUCUCCCAAAGUAUCAUCCCUCAAGGAGGCAGCUUAGCUUGCUUAUUAUUUUUCAGUUUGCACUAUUGACAUGGAGGAAGAGGUAAUCUUAGGCUGUAAUAAUCUGGUUUAUUUGCAUUCUAAUGGCGUAUAUUUGAGAUCCAAAAAGGUAGGACAGAUUUUAGAAUCCAGAUUUGUAACGUAAUCUCCUGACAGAUAAGUCAAAGGGGGUCUUUUGAGAGGACCUUUGCCUAUGCUGGAUACCAAAUUUAAUGUACUAAUAAAUUAUCUCUAAGUUAAUGCGCAAUGCCUGAAGCACAACUAUUGCCUGCAUGCGAUGGAGUGUUCCAUCCCAUCUCAAAAACACAAAGGUUUCUUCACUGGCUUGCAGUGCCUUGACUUGAGUUCUAACUGUCGGAUUGAGUGAGAUUACCAGAUAUCUGCGACUACAUCUUUAGAUUCAUCGAUCUAUUUUGAUGGAAGAUGGUGCAAGUGCAACGAACAGUUGGUUCGAAAACAUUCCCCAGCUCACUGUGAACUGAACAAUUGAAAUUUUGGGCACAAACAAGUUUAAGUGGAAAUAUUGGCUUAUUUAUUCUUCAGAUGGCAUAAAAGUUAAUGGUAGGAGUUUUUUUUUUUUUUUUUUUUUUUUGUAGUUGAAUAUGAUCAGUUAGAUACUAAUAUUCAACUUCUUGGUUUCUUAAAGAGUAUGUGGGACAAAAUGUGCAGUUUCCCGAAAAUUAACUUCUUGAUCUUUUCCUUAUUGUACGUGAUGUGUGUUGGAGUAUCUAUAAGCUAUAUCUAUAUAUCUAUGUAUCUAUAUAUAUAAUAUAUUAAAAGUGUGAAAAUUUUUGAUUUGAAUUUUUUGCCCUUCAUUAAAAGUUUUCACAAUAGACAAAACUAUCUUUUUAUUAUUUUCAUAUUUAUAAUAUUUGAAUUUUAAAAUUAAGAAAUCCUAAAAUAUAUGGUAAAAAAAAUAAUUAGCAUAUUUUAACCCUAGCGAUUUGGAAGUAAAAAUAUAAUAGAUUUUAUUUUAAUGUUGGUAGGUUUUUUAUCCCCAUAAUUAAUAUUAAACCACUCUUUCUAUAUUUAGUUGUACUUGGCUUCUUUACUACUAUGUUUCCUUUUCAUACUAUCUUGGAUAUGCUGUAGUUGAGUCGUUGAUCUAUCUGAAACAAGUACAACCUCUCUACACUCACAAGGUAUGGGUAAGGCUGCGUAUGUACCACCCUCUCCGGACUCCACUGGGCAUGUUAUUGUAUAGGGGAGAGGGGGUGGGAAAUCUUAAUAGUCCAUUGGGAAAAUGUGGUUCUGGUUUGCUCAUUAGAAUUUUUUUUAUUUUUGAUAAAGGUAUUUUAUUACUCUCUCUAUUCCAAUUUUUAUGUGACUUACUUUCCCUGUCCCAAUUUAUUUGGCACACUUUCUUUUUUAGUUCCCCACUUUGUGAGAGUAAAUGGGUAUGUUGUUGUUGUUAUUGUACAUUCAUUUUUAGUCCAUCCCAAAAAGAAUGCCACCUUUCUAUAAUAAGAAAGAAUCUAAUUUUAAAAUUUCCCUUUUACCUCAAUGAAACGAUUUAUAAUCACACAAUUGUCUAUGGUGUUUUAGAUCACAAAUUUCAAAUGGUCUUCCUUUUUCUUAAACUUUUUGCCAAUGUCACAUAAAUUGACGGAAGGAGUAGUAUGAAUCAGCACAAAAUUGAAGAAAUAAUGACUUCUGAAACAUGUCGCUUAAAACAUACCAUAGCUUUUUUGGCUCUUAUUCCACAUGAUGCAUAGUGGGCUAGUCUUCUUCCAUGUUUUCUUCUAAAUCUUCUAAAUUCUUCACCCAUGCCAUCAAGAUAGUAGAAUUUCACAUCUUGGGGCAUCACUGUUAGAACUCCAAAGAUAUUUAAGAAGAAAGACCAAAUCUGCCAAAGAUAUUGAAUAGGUCUCAAGUUCAAAUCCCAAGGCAAUAAACAGUGGGUGAUUUUUCUAUAUGUCAAAGCCUUGUUUGACGGUGUUAUCCGGUAUUUGAGUUGGUGGGAGUUAGCAAGUGCCUGGUGGAAUAGUUGAGGUGGGCGCAGCUAGCCUGGGUACCACUGUCAUAAACAAAAGAUGUUGCUGGUUUUUAUAGGAUAUCACUUGAAAAAACACCUCUUGCAAAGUGAAUAGCCUGUUCUCUGAAAUGCAACUUGAAUCAGACAAGCGAUGCUGUAAAGCUAUCCAAAGCAAGCUGCUUCAGUUGCUGCUGCCUUUGUUCUCCAUAACUAUAACAUCCUACCAGGCCGAUUAUUUUCCCAGCUCAUUGAUUGGUUUUGCAGCAGCGAGUACUAGCUUUUUACAGCUCCUUGAUUGUUUUGUGCUCGUUAGGGAUUUGAGGUUUGACCGUUAAGCUAAUGACACAUGUUCUAAUUCCUGACAAAGUUUAACUAACGCAAUGCCUGUAUCAACCUGAUCUAUAUUGGUAUGUUUGAAGAAGGUGAUGAAGAGAGAGAACUCCGUUUGAAGUUAAAGAAAGUAGAUUUGUUAACUAAACAUGUCAAGCCUAACUUUUAGGAUUUUGAACUAGGGCCAGAAGCCUAUUAUGCAGGAAUAGGAACAAAGGAAAACAUCCCAACUAAUUCUAGGGGAAAAUGUAUGUUUAAAUAUAAGUUCUAGAGUGUACUGCAGUAAAAUACAAAAAUAUUAUAUGCUUUUGUUGUAGGUGUAAACUAAAUAAAUAAAAGUGUUCCUCUCUAACUACUUGAGUUUUCUGGAUGAGGUAGUUACAUAAUUCAGUAUGGUACUAGAGAAAAAUAUAUGGUACAUUGGUACUACCGGAAACAUAUAUUCUAAGUUUGAAUGUUACUUUCAUUCAUCAGUAGCAGUUUUUUCACAUGCCUGGUUUGUGCAAAAAGGUCAUGCCCUCACAUGUGGAGACGUGAUGCAGAUUUUAAGUAAAUAAAUAACAGCAUUCCUUCUCUAACAUGUUAGGUUUUUCGGAUGAGGUGGUCACACAAUUUAUUAAUUUUCACAUUAGCUUAUCUUUUGUACAAUUGUAAUUCUUUUAUAAGGUUUCUGCAACUAUAACUUUUGUGAUGUAAGAAAAAUCAAUUAUAAUGUUAGCACUCUCUGUUGCUGUAUAUAAACCUUAUUAUUUUGAAGACACCUUCAACAUAUGUUGUCUUUCUUUUACGUACUCAGUUGGAUUUUGACAUCAUGUCUCCUCAAGUACAUUUAACUCCAUUUGGUUUCUGAUUUUUGAAAACUCUCAAACAGACCCAAUUUUUUAUUUUAUUUUUAUAUAUAGGUUCAUAUUUUCAAACUACUUUUUUGGCUUCUCGGAGGGUUGGACCUUGUGGCUACUGGCUUCACAGGCCCUUCCCUCUUUUCUCUCUCUUUUUUUUCCUCUUUUCCCCUUUGUUUUGGUCUAAAUAGCGAGCAAGGUGUUUUUUAUUUUUGACUUUUUGGAUUUCUAGAGAUAAGAUUAAUAGCAAAUAAAGAUGUUUACUUAAUUCUUCUUCUAAUUAUAACUAUAUAUGUGAAAGUCUAUCAAUGUUUUAAGACUUCACUGAUACUGUUUCAUGAGUUUUCCUACCCAAAUCCAAAUACAAUAAUUUUUCAAAACCGAUUCUUCAAAAAUUAAAUCC